GCCCAUUUUGACUUCUCAAGAAUAACUGAAUGUAUGAUUACUUCAUAAGAUAUUGCCAUCUGAUGUGUAAAUUAUAUUGUGGAAGGAAGAUGAAGAUAUUCAGGGCAACUAACGGUCAUGAGAUAGGGAAUGAAGUCGUCGAGGCAGCACAAACUCUCGGUGUCGUGGCCACCAGCGAGUGGCAAGGGCGCAACCAGUGAUAAAGGUUGAGGUCUACAGUCGGCAGUCCGGUUGUGGCCAAUGUCCUUGCACGUUGGCCUCCCAUGCCUAGAUGAAGGUUCUAAGCCCUAGGUGCUCUCCUCCUUGGCGUCGGAUCUAACUUGCCGGAGAGUGUUCAAUCAUGGAUGAGUUGUCAGCCGCUAACAGACGAAGUCUAUUUUGCAGUACAAAGGAAACUUCAGAGAAGAUCAAGGCCAAGAACAAAGUGACCAUGUUGCAGGCCAAGAACAAAGUGACCAUGUUGCAGGCAAGGUCAUCUACAUUCAUGGAGGAAAUUGUUCCGCAUGAUCCUCAUAUGAUGAAUACGAAGUGAUAUCUGCCCUUCUGGUAGCCAGGUUCGACUAGAAUUUCAGUUUAGAGUUCAUGAUUAUGCACUAAUCUGUUUAGAAAUAAAUAUUGUCUUGGCGAAUAUUAUUAGCCAUUUUCGUGAAAAUGUGGUGAAAAGUCAUUUGACAGGUUCAGGUAAAGAUUUUCCAUAUAUUUCGUUUGACGAGUUCCGGUAAAUAUUUUCUCACAGUUUAUUUUGUGUCCAAAUUCACGUGUUUUUAUCAUUGACUUCCAUAAACCUUUAGGAUUUGCUUUUGUUUACCAGCAACUUCAAAGGUGUCCAGAAAUGCUCUGUUUCAAGUGCUCUGUUUUGAGAUGCUGGAAAUGCUCUUUAAUACUUAUCGUUAUUAAAUUUGAGUUUGCAUUUUGGAAAAAAAAACAGCUAAUGGGUGCUAGGGAUAAUGACCGUUGCUGCAUUACAAUUCAUCUUUACCAUUUAUUUGUGAUUAAGCUCGAUUGUUUGUCACGAAAUGACACAUGUAAUAGGCAUGCUAUUUCACUACCAUUCAAUUAUAGCUUAUGUAACCUCUGCAUGUCAUUGAUUUGUCAUUCGGGAUAUCCGCCUUGGGCUCUACUCUGGGAUCGCGUCUGCAAUGUUGAGCCACUCCCGGAGGUACAGUGGUGGGAUUCGCCGUGGUCAGUCUGACCCCUGGCAAGGUGUCAACACUAGUGAUCUCGCCAUCUCUCUACCAUCCCGAGAUACUUCUAUUUUGUGUUGCGGCUAUAUUAUAUGUAUAUAUUAUGUCCAAGAGAUAUGUGGUGUGGGGAGUUGCUGUUGCAGUACAUGGAAAAAAUGAUCUUCCUUUACUUCAUGAUUAGAUAUUCUUUCCCAUGGAUCAUAAAUAGCUUGGGAUUUUCUCCCUUGCGUCCGGCUUUAUUCUUAUGCAGUUCAUCUCUUUUUUGUUGCGCCCUUUAUGUAAAUAUGUACAAAAUAUAUAAUUGUGAUCAGUUGCAGGUGUUUAGAGUAUUCUUGUUCACCAGGGAGCACGAGGAGUUGGGGAGGAAGGACGAGCCCACAACCAUCCAUCAGCGAUGGCAAGCAGCGAAGGGUCAAGUUGGAGGCAAACAUCAAGAAGCAUGUAAGAAGGUGACAGUCGCUGGAGCAUACUGUAGCUCGGACAAUUACCACAAGAACUUGAGUUUGAGACACUGAAGCAAACUAGGUAAAUGUUCUCUGAAUAAAAGUAUUAAUAUGCUUGUUUGUGUGUUGUCUGUGAUGUGUGGGUGAGAGAAAAGUGAGCAGAUUUUUAAUGGGGAAUGAAAAUUAUAUGUCCAUGUUCUAUUUUUCUUGGGUAUCAAAGGGUCUCUUUGUUAUUUCUCAAUUUUCAAAAAUAUAUGCCCAGACACACAGUAUUAAGUCAGUUGAUGCUAUUGGGUAUCAUGGAUGUCUUGAAUCUUUUUUUUAGAAGAGGGCCCCAACGAGGGGAGCCCCGGCUCCAUUUUCAUCAAUGAAAGCAGAGUCUUUUUACAUCAUGAUCAUCUUUUUUGCUGAAAGUAAAAGACAGGAAUGCCCUCAGGCAGAAACUAAAAGUUCAUUACAGGGACGGUCUUUCCAGCUAGAAACAACAGGGGAAACCUAAAGGUAAAACAAGAAAGCUCGAGGACAUGAAGUGGUGGCCGAGGCGGAGUAGCCUCCUAGCUUCAUCUCGACUUGUACUGCUGAACCAUGCACAUGAGGCUGUCCUUGAUCAUCUCUUUCGGCAGCAGGUCUCCAUCUCUUGCAGUCAGAUUGUUCCAACUAGGGUUCCAGAACGAAGUGAUGGGCGAAGCCACACAAGGCUUAGAGCUGCUUGCAGGUGUCGAUGGAGCAACGGGCUACACCAGUAGCUGAUCCAGGAGAGAAGACGCCAAGUAAGCAAGAGAUAGUGAAGCCACAGGUAUCACACCCAAGGCAGGGGCUUUGGCCACCUGUAACUGCUGGGAGAAAGUGUAUCUGUAGAAGCAUAGACCCCGAGAUUUAUACUCGUGAGAAAAUCACGAGUUUCUCAGAUUUUAUACCACCAUGUAGAUGUCUUGCAUCUAAGAUCUAUACUUACGAGAAAAUCACAAGUUUCUUAGAUUUUGUAACACCAUGUAUAUGUCUGAGUUCUUAAAGAAAAUAAAUGCUAGAGUAUAUGCUUAUAGGUA